rnacentral:sRNA from 1 species
UCACAAAAAGAGAUUGUUCAUGUAGUUGCAUCACAUUUAGGGUUGAGUCUAGGAUGUUUCAUAUAGGAUUGUUGCAUUCACAUUGCAUAGGGAAUAAUGAUGAGAUAGUCUUGUAAGCAUUUUGGUUCACCCGAUAAACUCAGUGCCCUCGUUGUUAGUUGUAUGAUGCAUAGUCAAUGAAAUUGAAGUAGAACUGCACCAUGCCUAAAAUGCUCUACUCGACCACACUGUGAAGAUUUGAUACCAUUCUCUAUCAAUUCGAACCUGAAUCUGAUUUAAAAUUAUCAUGUCUUAACAUCGAAUUUAAACUCAUGGAUACCCUAAAAUACUUGGACUUCCUUACAGGACUCUUGUUUGUCCAAGUAGCUGACUCCCCUUAUUGGAGCAGUUAACCCCAACCUUAAGCCUAAACCUUCUUUCAAGCCUUUAUCACUUGUGAGUGUCUGUGAGGUCUUAUUCCGAUUGAGCUUGGUAGAAAGUGUUAGGUUCGUAACGAAAGAGAUAGUGUUUCAUGUAGUUCUAAUUUACGUUAUCCAGACUAGAUAGGACUAGGUGGGCGCUUAUAUCGUGGGUUGGGAUGUUUCUAAAAGAAAGAAAAUAGUGAAUUCAUUGUUGAUAAGGAAAGGGAAAGGAAUUCUAGGGGAAGUAAGCUAAAAAAGUUAGAAAAAGUCUAGUAAAGGUUUUGGGAAUGUCAAAAAAAAGAAUGAGGUUCUUGUCAGCUAAAGAAGAAGGGUAAAAAGCCCUUAGUUUUAAAGAUUAAAACCAUGAACCUUAGUUUUUACAAGAAAUCCAAAUCCGUUAGAAGUAUCAAAGUGUUGAGAAAGCUUCUCUUAGAGUUAAGAGAAAAGAAAAGAAUGAUCUGAAAAAGGGUUUAAAAGAUUCAUGAAUGCAAAGGGUAGAGUUAAGUUAUUAUUUUGGGAUUGGAGAUGGGAUUACCAUUAGAGCUUCAUUUGUUAUACUUUGGGUAGAUGGGAUCUUAUCUCUGUAUGCAUAAUUAGGGACUUACCUUUAGCAUUAUACUAAAGCUCAAUCAUUCUUGAGAGAUCUCAUUUUACUAAAACCUAUUCUUUAAGGGACCAUCUUUGUCUCUUGACCUUCACCUUAGCCAAAUGAGUUCAUUGAUGAUGCAUUGCUUGAUUCACGUUCUAGAACUAAUGAAUUUUAAAGGGAUUGUGGAUGUCGGAUCUGGUGCUAACCAAACCCGCAAUUUGGUGAGACAUUUGGAGUGUGUAGGGCUUUGAGAAAGGCCCGACCAAGCGGAAAAGCCCAUCACUAGGCCAGUUAUCUAGAAACCGUUUUAUAUUGCUUCGUUAACGAAAAGAUUCUGAGUUAAUAACACGCAUUGAUUACCUGAAGAUUCGUAACAUACGCUGAAGCGGGAUCUGCGGACUGAGCUGGAUGUUCAUAACGUACGGAGUUAGUGAAGCGAUAUCAGCUGGACAUUUAGUUCGCAAGAUUCGUUGUAAUUGUAUAAAUAGAGAACUAUUGUCAUUUACUAGGAAAAACCGAAAAUGGUACUAAAAGAAUACUGAAAUAUACUGAAACAUUUCAGCUGAUUGUUGUUCGACUAACAAGUUUAAAGAUCUUUGAAAUACAACCACGAAAUUCUAAUUGCGGAUUCUGACAUCCAUAAUUUGGCGCUAGAAGAAGGGUGGUUUAAGUGUUUUACUUCAGAGCAACGAUCAGUCUACCAUGAGUAACACCGACGACCAGAACUCCGGCGACCAUGCCUCCACCCUUGCUGAUAUCAAGAAGCUGCUUAAGGAGCUUUCCGACAAAACAGAGCGGCAGCAGUCCACCGAAACGUCUUUGUCCGAAAAGAAGAAUGCAGUGGCCAGCUCGCAGCGCUCACCACCAGUCAUUCCGAAAUCAGGGAAGCUCACAACGCGUAUGUAGAUCGAGUUGACACUCUCUCUACAGGAACGCUGUGUACCGCAGGAGUCUAAGCACAGCUCGACUUUCAGGGAACCGUUAGUACGAGUGUCCAAAACUCACAAGCGGAAGUAGAUCAGCAAACUCCGUCACAUCAACUGCCAUGUGGCUCUCCGAUGGAAGUUGGAGCUACCUCGCAUUAGGACACUGUGAGAGUCGAAACUCACAUAACCGAAAUUUCUUCAUUCGGCUAUACCCUCGAAGAUUCUUCAUUAUCAUAUCUGGAUUCUUCGGAAAUGGUCUUUGGAUCGUUUUGGUAAGAUGUGCAAAGUCUUUGCCUCAGGCUACUAUGAAACGCUAGGAAUCAGCUCGGUGCAUAUUCUACGCGACCAGAAGUCCUCCUAGACGACCCUAAAUGAUCCUCUAGACGUCCAUUCUCUGCUCGGGUGUGUUUAUUGGAAUAACAACCAAGCCGCAUGGUAGUUUCAUCUCGGAAUCCCAAGUGUUUCCUUUCCCGGCUCGGGUAUGUUUCCUGGAAUGACAACCGAACCGGGUACGGAUACCCGAGCGAGUAGCGUCCUGUGAAUAGUUUCCCUACUGUUUGUAGUAGGCUGAGCUCCCGAAGCCUUUUUGUUUGGCUCGGUCUUCUGGGGAAAUCCGACCCCAACAGUUUGCCCCCACCUCGUUAUUUUUAUUGCGAGAAACAACGAGCUGUAUGAGUACGGUGACCGAGCUGGCCGAUCGUUUUCCUAUCCCGCAGCUUUUGACGCUUCAACUUCCGGGACGGUCAAACUUCUUUGCGUGUAGCCGCUCUUUUCUCUCGAGAAGGGGAAAUGUCUUCGCUAAUUCCCGAGGUUCACGCGGGUGUCCCGUAUUUUGACGAGGCCACGCGCCAACGACGCGGUUCGUGAUUUCCUCCGAACCCAACGCACCCUAAAAGUUCUAUAAAUAAUAAAGCAUUCUUUAAGAAUUUCAUUUGAAGUUCCGAAGGAAAAAGUUUCGAGGUUUUCUUUCUCUCCUCUAAUCUUGAUUUCUUUAUAUUCUUCUAUAUUUCCGGUGAACCUCCGUCGUCUUUUAGGUUUGUUUUGAUUUUCCUGGUUAGAAAUUUCUGGUUACGGCUUUUGCUUUGUCAAAACUCCGUGCACCGAGACGAUCUCCCUCCGAUCCAUAAAAGGAGGAUGGUUUGGAGCUCGUCGGAAGAUGCCGAACCGAGUUCGAGUCACCAGGGUGAUGCGACUUCAUCAUCUAAUACGCCCGAAGAGCCGAGCCCUUUCAUGGCUCAAGAAGAUACUUCCGCUGAUAUAUCUCGGGAACUCGAUCUUCGAGAGGAUCCUGAGCCAUCUCUUGUUCGAAGGCCUCAUGUCCCAACUGCUAACGAGGCUGGAACAUCGAAUUGGCGAGAUGUGUCUGAACCCUUGUUUCCCCAGGUGAAGGUUGA